rnacentral:rRNA from 1 species
AUUGAACGCUGGCGGAAUGCUUUACACAUGCAAGUCGAACGGCAGCGCGGGGGCAACCCUGGCGGCGAGUGGCGAACGGGUGAGUAAUGCAUCGGAACGUAUCCUGUAAUGGGGGGAUAACGUAGCGAAAGUUACGCUAAUACCGCAUACGCUCGAGAGAGGAAAGUGGGGGAUCGCAAGACCUCACGUUAUAGGAGCGGCCGAUGUCCGAUUAGCUAGUUGGUGGGGUAAAGGCCUACCAAGGCGACGAUCGGUAGCUGGUCUGAGAGGAUGAUCAGCCACACUGGGACUGAGACACGGCCCAGACUCCUACGGGAGGCAGCAGUGGGGAAUUUUGGACAAUGGGCGAAAGCCUGAUCCAGCCAUGCCGCGUGCGGGAAGAAGGCCUC